AACUGAGGCCAUACCUGCCCUAAAAAUGCCUGAUCUCAUGAAAGCUAAGCAGGUUCCAGCCUAGUUAGUACUUGUAUAGGAGACCACCUGGAAAUACCAGGGGUUAUAGGUU
rnacentral:rRNA from 1 species